UCUCCGGUUUCUUCUCUUGGCUGCCUUGGGAGUAAAACCUCUGCUUCGAGCCUUAGUGAUUCAGCGUUUUGGCUUGCUGUGCCUCCUGAAAAGUGAACCUGGCUCAGUAACAAAUUUGGUGGGUCAACCAGGAGGGACCAUGUUUAGGGAAAAAGAACAAUGGAGAAUAAAACAACAGGCCACUCUGCUGGCGGCUGCCUUAACACAGGGAAGAGCCGGACCCCCACAAAGGACUCAGCAAAAGGGGGUGUGACUUUGGACAAGCUGCUUCACCUCCCCGAGCUUCCGUUUCCUCAUCUUUAAAGUGGGAUAAUCAUACCUACCUCACAGCGUGGCUGUAGGAAGACAUGAUACAGCAUGUGGCACUUGCUUGGUACACAGUUGGUGCUCAAAAACAGCUAAGACCUGCUCUGUGGGUGUCAGUUCACCAGACUGUCUACUUACGGUACCUGGGCACUUGUCAAGGAGUUUCCAACAAUGCCAGAAUCUCUCUUCUUUUUGGAUGGUGUAAAAUGGAGCUGUGAAGCCUGAACUACUACCAUAAAGGGAGAGCCUUGAUCUGCUGUGUAGAAGCUGAGAAUGAAGUUGGCAUUAAGAAAGGCAGCUGAAAGAUGGAGGGGAAAAUGUCUUCAGUGAAAGUGUUUGAAACCCGGAUCAAGCCUUACCUGAGCUUACGGGACUUCCCUGGUGGUGCAGUGGACACAGG